rnacentral:rRNA from 1 species
AUUGAACGCUGGCGGCAGGCCUAACACAUGCAAGUCGAACGAGUGGCGGACGGGUGAGUAAUGUCUGGGAAACUGCCUGAUGGAGGGGGAUAACUACUGGAAACGGUAGCUAAUACCGCAUACCAUCGGAUGUGCCCAGGUGGGCUUAGCUAGUAGGUGGGGUAAAGGCUCACCUAGGCGACGCACCCUAGCUGGUCUGAGAGGAUGACCAGCCACACUGGAACUGAGAAAGGGUCCAGACACCUACGGGAGGCAGCAGUGGGGAAUAUUGCACAAUGGGCGCAAGCCGGAUGCAGCAAUGCCGCGGGUAUGAAGAAGGCCUUCGGGUUGUAAAGUACUGUCAGCGGGGAGGCGUUACACGCAGAAGAAGCACCGGCUAACUCCGUGCCAGCAGCCGCGGUAAUUC